UGUCAUGGUCAAGGUCAUAUUGCAAAACGAUGUCCUUCUCCCAAAAUGCACAACGCUAACUAUUUCUCCCGCCAACCUGCAUAUAAUCUUACCUCCACUAAUGGAUCAUCUUCUCAGAGCUGGACAGUUGAUUUUGGAGCUAACUGCCAUAUCACAGCACAACCAGAGAAUAUUUCUCAAGCCACUCCUUACCAUGGCACCAAUGAAACUGCUUUAGGCAAUGGAUAUCCGCAUGAGGCAACCCUUAUGCUAAGACCAGAAUGAAAAUGGUCUUUACGCUUUAUCUCUACAACCCACCAAGUCUAUUCGUCCCCCCUAGGUUUCGUUGAUCCAGAAAAAUCAACGUUUGUGUGCAAGCUUCAUCAUUCUUUAUAUGGCUUACGCGACGCACCACGAUAAUUGUAUAAGCACCUUGCUUCAGCUGUUAUUGAGAAUGGUUUCAGACCUUCAAGUGUUGAUUCUUCCUUAUUCUCCUUCAGCAAUGGAACUUGUCAAGCUUUUUACUUAAUAUACAUAAAUGAUAUUCUACUCAUAAGUAGCUCUUCCACCUAUUUACAACAUCUAAUCACCUAUCUCCAAUAAGACUUUGUAACGCCCCUUAUCUGUCUAUAGUGUAGCCGAGCAAGGCGUGCCAUAUUUAGUGCCGGAGCACUUUAUCUUAUCUUGUCAUGUACAUUAUUGAUUUAACUUCCAUUUAUUCAUAUUAUCUCAUGUGUUGAAAA